rnacentral:rRNA from 1 species
UUUUUCUCUUUUAGGGGGACCUGCGGGGAGGAUCCUUUUUUGAAAUCUAGGAUCUUUUUGGGAAGGAGGUUGUGGUGGGUAAAUAGAUAUUGCAUGUGCCCCCUUUUGGAGGGUUAUUUAAUAUAUACCCCUGUGAAACCAACUGUUGUCUGGGGGAAUCCUAACUGUGGAUUACCCCUCUCUCACUCUUAUUGUAUGUUACAUAGAAACGAUUUCAUAUUGAAACUUUUUUUUUUGACAAGUAUUUUCUUAAUUAAAAAUAUACAACUUUCUUCAACGGAUGUCUUGGCUUUGUGCAUUCAAUGAAGAACGCAGCGAAAUGCGUAUAGAUUAAUGUGAGUUGCUGAAUCCUGUGAGUCAUUCAAAUGUUUGAACGCACCCACCUUGCUCCCUUGGUAUUCCUAGGGGCAUGCCUGUUUGAUGAGUCAUUAAAUUCUUCAACCUUCCUAAUUUUUGUUUUUGUCAGGGCUGGUAUGUGAGAUAGUGGGUGGUUAUAGUAUAAUUCUGAGAUGGCUCUCUUUAAAACUAUUAGUAGGACAUGUAGAAAAUGCGCACGGGUUUGUGAUAAUAUGUGUCACGCGCUAUACCGGAAGGGGGAUUCUAGCUUGUAUGUACUACUUAUAAAAUCAUGCGCAUAUAUCUAGCAUAUAAUUGCAUAUAUUGACCAUUUGACCUCAAAUUCAGGUAGAACUACCCCGCUGAACUUAACCAUAUCAUUAGCCGGAAAGAAA